rnacentral:rRNA from 1 species
UACGAAGGGUGCAAGCGUUACUCGGAAUUACUGGGCGUAAAGCGUGCGUAGGUGGUUUGUUAAGUCUGUUGUGAAAGCCCCGGGCUCAACCUGGGAAUGGCAAUGGAUACUGGCAAGCUAGAGUGCGGUAGAGGGUAGUGGAAUUCCCGGUGUAGCGGUGAAAUGCGUAGAGAUCGGGAGGAACACCAGUGGCGAAGGCGGCUACCUGGACCAGCACUGACACUGAGGCACGGAAAGCGUGGGGAGCAAACAGG